AUUGAACGCUGGCGGCAGGCCUAACACAUGCAAGUCGAACGAGUGGCGGACGGGUGAGUAAUGUCUGUGAAACUGCCCGAUGGAGGGGGAUAACUACUGGAAACGGUAGCUAAUACCGCAUACCAUCGGAUGUGCCCAGAUGGGAUUAGCUAGUGGGUGGGGUAACGGCUCACCUAGGCGACGAUCCCUAGCGGGUCUGCGAGGAUGACCAGCCACACUGGAACUGAGAAACGGCCCAGACGCCUACGGGAGGCAGCAGUGGGGAAUAUUGGACAAUGGGGGAAAGCCUGAUGCAGCCAUGCCGCGUGUAUGAAGAAGGCCUUCGGGUUGUAAAGUACUUUCAGCGAGGAGGCGUUACUCGCAGAAGAAGCACCGGCUAACUCCAUGCCAGCAGCCGCGGUAAUAC
rnacentral:rRNA from 1 species